GCCGGUAUAGCUCAGUUGGUAGAGCAACUGAUUUGUAAUCAGUGGGUCGCGGGUUCGAUUCCUGCUGCCGGCACCA
rnacentral:tRNA from 1 species